AUAUCAAUAAGCGGAGGAAAAGAAACUAACAAGGAUUCCUUUAGUAACGGCGAGUGAACAAGGAACAGCCCAUCACCGAAUCCUUCUUGACCUUCAGGUAAGGAAUUGUGGUGUAAAGGAUAAUCUAUGCUAUAAUAUUAUCAAUCCAAGUUCUCUUGAAUGGGGCUUACCCAUAGCGGGUGUCAGGCCUCUAGUGAUUGCUUAAUAUUGUAACUUUGAUUGUCCCGAGAGUCGGGUUGCUUGAGAUCGCAGCCCUAAGACGGGUGGUAAACUCCAUCCAAGGCUAAAUACCGUCGCGAGACCGAUAGCGCACAAGUA
rnacentral:rRNA from 1 species